UUCCUGGUUUCUCCUUUUUCGCAGCGCGAAUGGGGAAGCUGUGAAAGGAGUGGGGUAAACCUUAGCCUUAUCUCUCAGGAAGGAGCUCCGGCUGAGCAUUGAAGGGCGUCUUCUGGCAGACGAAUGGAACGCUGUGCUGUGCUGAGCGGUGGAAAGUCGAGCCAGGAUAAGCGGGCUGCUGGCAGAACGGGGGCGGCGGGAGCACCAAGGGUGUUGCUUCAUCUUCAGCCUGGAUCCAAGAAUGGGCAUUAUAACCUAUGAUGAUUACUCCAGUUCACCGCUUCAGAGAUAUUGAGAGGAAACCAGAAUAUCUUCAACCGGACAAGUGUGUCCCACCUCCCAGCCACAGUUCCUCAGGAACAAUGUGGUUUAUUCGAGAUGGUUGUGGUAUUGCCUGUGCCGUUAUCACCUGGCUCCUGGUAUUUUAUGCUGACUUUGUAGUCAUCCUCGUAAUGCUGCUUCCAUCAAGAGACUAUAUUUAUAGUGUAAUCAAUGGAAUAGUUUUCAAUACUUUGGCAUUCCUGGCUCUGGCUUCACAUUUGAGAGCAAUGUUAACAGAUCCAGGUGCAGUGCCCAAAGGUAAUGCCACAAAAGAGUUCAUAGAGAGCUUACAGCUGAAGCCAGGACAAGUAGUUUAUAAGUGUCCAAAAUGCUGUAGUAUCAAACCGGACAGAGCACAUCACUGCAGUGUUUGCAAAAGAUGUAUACGGAAAAUGGAUCACCACUGCCCAUGGGUUAAUAACUGUGUAGGAGAGAACAACCAGAAAUACUUUGUACUGUUUACAAUGUAUAUAGCUCUAAUUUCUCUGCAUGCUCUAAUCAUGGUUGGAUUCCACUUCCUAUAUUGUUUGGAAGAAGACUGGACAAAGUGCAGUUCUUUCUCUCCACCAACUACUGUGAUCCUUCUGAUCCUCUUGUGCUUUGAGGCUCUCCUUUUUCUCAUUUUCACAUCUGUAAUGUUUGGAACGCAGGUACAUUCCAUCUGCACUGAUGAAACAGGAAUAGAACAGUUGAAAAAAGAAGAGAGAAGAUGGGCUAAAAAAACAAAAUGGAUGAACAUGAAAGCAGUAUUCGGCCAUCCGUUCUCUAUAGUUUGGCUUAGCCCAUUUGCUACUCCAGACCAAGGAAAAGCCGACCCAUAUCAGUAUGUGGUCUAAGAAUUCAUGACAACAUUUUCACCCAAACAAAACUGCAUUUGCGGCACUAUGGCUAUUACACAUGAAUGUUUCCAAUGAAAAAAACUUUUGUUUAAAGAAAAACUGCCUGUAAAAAGGCAGAUAACUGCAAAGAAAAGAUGAGGGGGGGAAAAGUGAAUACAAACACAAAUUGGACAAACACUAUGAAUAACAUAGAAAUAUGCAAAUCAGAGUUACUGUAUAAGAUAAGUAAUUUCAAUUUUUUUGUAAUAUGGUCCAUACUAGUUUAUUACUAGAACAUAAUAAACCUGAUUCUGAUGGUUAUCCAAUCCAAACUGUAGAUUUAUAAUAUUUCAUAGCACUUGUUUUUGAAAGUACAACAUUGGAGAUUGCCCAGAAACUAACAUACUCUGGAAUAAACCCCUAAAGUUUUUGGAUUUCUAAAAUAUAAUUGUAGCAUUUCCACAUUAAGUGGGGAAUUUCACCUACAGGAAAUCAUAGCAUUGAUUCAUAAAAUCCAAAACAUGGGAUCAAGGGUAUCUAGAGGGUAGCUCAAAAACAUCAAGUUGGUAACUGAUUGCAUAGAUGCAUUUGGUUUUUUCCCUAAUAAACCUAAAAGAGGAAUAGGAACCUUACAUCUAGAAUGAAAUCAGAUAAACAUUUUGUAGUUGCAGCAGCUUACUGAAUUCAAUAUAAAAAUGAUGCACAUACUGAUUCUCCAAUGCUUAAUUCCCUUUUUAUGUGUUUCAUUGUGAGUUGCAAAUGAAUCUAUGUAGUCAAUGGCAAAAUACAUUUCUAAAAUAUGUUAUUUUCUCUAUUGUCCCAGAUUACCAAUGCUAUUUUUCCAAAUUUUUAACCACCAUACAUUUUUUUAUAAUUAAAACUGCCUCCUUAAUCACUGUUUAAACAUGGCAGUAAUGUGUCUCAUUUUGCUUGCAUUUUGAAAUCUUCCAGAAAAGCUUUUAAUAGAAUCAGAAGGCUGUUGUUGGAAGGGAUCACUUAGAAAUGCAUUUAUAAAAUAAAAUCUCUGGCUUAAUAUGUUAACUUUAGAUCAAUGCUUUUUAUUUCAUUAUAUUAAAUUUUAUUUGAGUAUUUUAAAUGUAAAAAUGUUAUAUUUAUAUAUUGCUUUGGAAAUUGUUUUUCCCCAUCUUUAUCCCUCUAAUUCUGUAAUUGUAGCCUUUGAACACAGGAAACUGCCUUAAAAUUAAAACAUACUCUCUAUCUUAAAGAAUACAUUUGAAACAUUAGAUAUAGUUUCCAUAGACGUGCACAUCUAUUAGUACGUGCAAAGAAUUUUUGCAUAUUGAAGUUUCCUGAAUGUUGAGAAGAGAACAUAGGGUUGGCUGUAUGUGCAAGUUUUGGACCAUAUCCAUAGGUACAUUGUUCAUUGUCGUCUUCUGAUGGAUUUUCUGUGUGAAGAAAAGGUGGGUGGAGGAAUAAAAGGUUUAGAAGUUAAAGAUGGCAUAACCUGAGCCCUUGUACAAUUCCAUUAAGAAAGUUGUACAAUAAAAGUCUUGUGUGGAAUCCAUACAAGUUAUUCUAAGAAAUACAAACAGAAAUAAGUAUACGCAAAAAUAUUAACCUUUAAAUUCCAGAAUAAGAUUUAUGUAAUCCUAAUCAGAAAAAUUCUGAGAUAUAACUAAGGUAUCUUAGGGAAUUCUAGGUAGAAAUUUUAGGUAGACAAUUCUAGGUAGCAGAUUUUAAUUUGGCAUCUGCUAAUCUAAAGUAUAGUAAGAGUAUAUAAUUUUUUUCACUAGUUGCAGAUAAAUAUUUUCCAAUAUUUUUCUGAUUGUGAUAUUCUUUGGUUUCCUAAUGGCUGAAGAACAUUGUAGAGUCAUAUAUUUUUUCUUUUGAAAGUUUUCUCUAUCUACUUUCAGAAGAUUCCUUAAAUUAUUUAGGCUAUUAUCCAUCACAUUAUAACAGUGUUCCAUGUGCCUUUAAUGAAUAAAUGUAAACUGUUUUGUC